rnacentral:rRNA from 1 species
UACGUAGGUGACAAGCGUUGUCCGGAAUUAUUGGGCGUAAAGAGCUCGUAGGCGGUUUGUCGCGUCGGCUGUGAAAACUCAGGGCUCAACCCUGAGCCUGCAGUCGAUACGGGCAGACUAGAGUAUGGCAGGGGAGACUGGAAUUCCUGGUGUAGCGGUGAAAUGCGCAGAUAUCAGGAGGAACACCGGUGGCGAAGGCGGGUCUCUGGGCCAUAACUGACGCUGAGGAGCGAAAGCGUGGGGAGCGAACAGG